UCGAGGGGCAGCACGAUGUAGCAAUACAUUGGUGGCGACCGGCGCACGGGUGAGUAACGCGUAUGCAACCUACCUAUCAGAGGGGAAUAACCCGGCGAAAGUCGGACUAAUACCGCAUAAAACAGGGGUUCCACAUGGAAAUAUUUGUUAAAGAAUUAUCGCUGAUAGAUGGGCAUGCGUUCCAUUAGAUAGUUGGUGAGGUAACGGCUCACCAAGUCCACGAUGGAUAGGGGUUCUGAGAGGAAGGUCCCCCACACUGGUACUGAGACACGGACCAGACUCCUACGGGAGGCAGCAGUGAGGAAUAUUGGUCAAUGGGCGAGAGCCUGAACCAGCCAAGUCGCGUGAAGGAUGAAGGAUCUAUGGUUUGUAAACUUCUUUUAUAUGGGAAUAAAGUGAGGAACGUGUUCCUUUUUGUAUGUACCAUAUGAAUAAGCAUCGGCUAACUCCGUGCCAGCAGCCGCGGUAAUACGGAGGAUGCGAGCGUUAUCCGGAUUUAUUGGGUUUAAAGGGUGCGUAGGUGGUUAAUUAAGUCAGCGGUGAAAGUUUGUGGCUCAACCAUAAAAUUGCCGUUGAAACUGGUUGACUUGAGUAUAUUUGAGGUAGGCGGAAUGCGUGGUGUAGCGGUGAAAUGCAUAGAUAUCACGCAGAACUCCGAUUGCGAAGGCAGCUUACUAAACUAUAACUGACACUGAAGCACGAAAGCGUGGGGAUCAAACAGGAUUAGAUACCCUGGUAGUCCACGCAGUAAACGAUGAUUACUAGCUGUUUGCGAUACACAGUAAGCGGCACAGCG
rnacentral:rRNA from 1 species